GUGCUUGCUUCAGCAGCACAUAUACUAAAAUUAUGUAACUAUACAGAAAAGGUUAAUGUGGCCCCUGUGCAAAGAUGAGACACGAAUUCAUGAAAUGUUUCAUAUUUUU